GGCUGGUGAAUUACCAGAUCUCCGUCAAGUGCAGUAACCAGUUCAAGUUGGAAGUGUGUCUUUUGAAUGCAGAAAACAAAGUCGUGGACAACCAGGCUGGGACCCAGGGCCAGCUGAAGGUGCUGGGUGCCAACCUCUGGUGGCCGUACCUGAUGCACGAACACCCCGCCUACCUGUACUCGUGGGAGGAUGGUGAUUGCUCACACCAAAGCCUUGGACCCCUCCCAGCCUGUGACCUUUGGGACCAACUCCACCUACGCAGCAGACAAGGGGGCUCUGUAUGUGGAUGUGAUCCGUGUGAACAGCUACUACUCUUGGUAUCGCAACUACGGGCACCUGGAGUUGAUUCGGCUGCAGCUGGCCGCCCAGUUUGAGAAUUGGUGUAAGACAUCACAAUCCCAUUAUUCAGAGCGCGUAUGGAGUGGAAACGCUUGUAGGGCUUCACCAGGAUCCACCUCUGAUGUUCAGUGAAGAGGACCAGAAAAGUCUGCUAGAGCAGUACCAUCUGGGUCUGGAUCAAAAACGCAGAAAAUACGUGGUUGGAGAGCUCAUCUGGAAUUUUGCCGAUUUCAUGACUAACCAGU
rnacentral:lncRNA from 1 species